ACAUAAAAGGUGGCUUCGGCUACCACUUACAGAUGGACCCGCGGCGCAUUAGCUAGUUGGUGAGGUAACGGCUCACCAAGGCAACGAUGCGUAGCCGACCUGAGAGGGUGAUCGGCCACACUGGGACUGAGACACGGCCCAGACUCCUACGGGAGGCAGCAGUAGGGAAUCUUCCGCAAUGGACGAAAGUCUGACGGAGCAACGCCGCGUGAGUGAUGAAGGUUUUCGGAUCGUAAAGCUCUGUUGUUAGGGAAGAACAAGUACCGUUCGAAUAGGGCGGUGCCUUGACGGUACCUAACCAGAAAGCCACGGCUAACUACGUGCCAGCAGCCGCGGUAAUACGUAGGUGGCAAGCGUUGUCCGGAAUUAUUGGGCGUAAAGGGCUCGCAGGCGGUUUCUUAAGUCUGAUGUGAAAGCCCCCGGCUCAACCGGGGAGGGUCAUUGGAAACUGGGGAACUUGAGUGCAGAAGAGGAGAGUGGAAUUCCACGUGUAGCGGUGAAAUGCGUAGAGAUGUGGAGGAACACCAGUGGCGAAGGCGACUCUCUGGUCUGUAACUGACGCUGAGGAGCGAAAGCGUGGGGAGCGAACAGGAUUAGAUACCCUGGUAGUCCACGCCGUAAACGAUGAGUGCUAAGUGUUAGGGGGUUUCCGCCCCUUAGUGCUGCAGCUAACGCAUUAAGCACUCCGCCUGGGGAGUACGGUCGCAAGACUGAAACUCAAAGGAAUUGACGGGGGCCCGCACAAGCGGUGGAGCAUGUGGUUUAAUUCGAAGCAACGCGAAGAACCUUACCAGGUCUUGACAUCCUCUGACAAUCCUAGAGAUAGGACGUCCCCUUCGGGGGCAGAGUGACAGGUGGUGCAUGGUUGUCGUCAGCUCGUGUCGUGAGAUGUUGGGUUAAGUCCCGCAACGAGCGCAACCCUUGAUCUUAGUUGCCAGCAUUCAGUUGGGCACUCUAAGGUGACUGCCGGUGACAAACCGGAGGAAGGUGGGGAUGACGUCAAAUCAUCAUGCCCCUUAUGACCUGGGCUACACACGUGCUACAAUGGACAGAACAAAGGGCAGCGAAACCGCGAGGUUAAGCCAAUCCCACAAAUCUGUUCUCAGUUCGGAUCGCAGU
rnacentral:rRNA from 1 species